GCAAUCUGUUGUGGGCUGUUCAUUAAGCUGCGUUAUUUGUUUGUCAAUAAACAGCCCAUCCCACAGAAAGAACAUCAACCAACAGCUGCCUUUCGUUUUUAUGUACACAUUUUCUGUUUGUUGUUUUCUUAUAAAAUCCACUGCUGCCCUAAACGUCUCCUCCCUCCUUACAGACAUGGGUCCUGCAAUGCAGUCAACUAACCCUUUCAGUGAUCGGCGUCCGAGACUCGACCGUCUCCUCCUGGCUAGGUCUGGGUACGACUGAGACCAUCUCCUCCCUGCUAGGUCUGGGUACGACUGAGACCGUCUCUUCCCUGCUAGGUCUGGGUACGACUGAGACCGUCUCCUCCCUGCUAGGUCUGGGUACGACUGAGACCGUCUCCUCCCUGCUAGGUCUGGGUACGACUGAGACCAUCUCCUCCCUGCUAGGUCUGGGGACGACUAAGCAGGAUACAAUGUCUCUCAAAUCCCUCCCUUCCACCGUCCCUGCUGCCACGUCCACUUGAUGCUUGUUGGCACUGGUGUCACCCAUUCCCAC
ensembl:lncRNA